UGGACGUAUAGUAAUAAUCCCUCUCCGAUUGUUGUGCAUUUCAGAGCUCAGAUCCCUGGACCCAGAGCAAUCCCUUCCAAUGACCUCCUGCUCUUAUUCUUUUAAUCCUGUGUCUGACCUGCGAAAACAGUGGCCAUGAGCUGUGAAGUCAGUUCUGAGUCAUUUUCUUAAGAAAAAAGAGGGGGAAAGAAAGACUGAACUUACACUUUUGUGUGUACUGGAAGAAAAAGGAAAAAACAAAACAAAACCAUGCACCUGACCCCUUGCUACCCUUCCUCAGGAUGGGAGGACCAUGUCUGGAGCCUCAUAAGCGGGGGCUUCAUAAGGCUCCCCUGCGUCCCUGCUUCCUGGAAUCUGCUAAAAGAAUAUGGCAAACCGGCCAAGAUAUUUGACUGAGAGUUACAGGAAGCAAAGUGGAACAGUGUUUCCAAAUUACCUGGGGGACGCGGGCAGGGGGAACAACCGAGAGAGACGGCCUGAGCCAAGGAAACAUCACUCUGUCUCAGUGAUCAGGAUAAUUCCGCGGCCCGAGCAUGCGAUCUGGAAGCUCCAGUGGUCAGGACGGGUCGUUCCUUGCACGGUACUUGCUCGAUGGUGCGUUCGUUCCUCCAGCCUAUCCACGUGCAUCUGUGCCUGCGGGACGCCUGGCGCUGGGCGAGCCUGUGGGCCCUGCAAGUUGAGUCUGACCCCACCCCCGAGCACAGAGAACUUUCCGGCCCCCGGGCAGCAUCCAUGGCACCAUGGGAAACCUGAGGAGGGCAGCACCACUUCCUGCGAGCCUCCUGAGCCACUGUGGGGAAGCCAGCUGGACCAGUUUGGAGAGAGAAACUUGCAGAGCUGGACGUGA
rnacentral:lncRNA from 1 species